GAUAAACGCUGGCGGCGUGCAUAACACAUGCAAGUCGAACGAUGAAGAUUAAAAGAUUUCUUCGGAAUGAACUUAAUUGGAUUAGUGGCGGACGGGUGAGUAACGCGUGAGUAACCUGCCUUGUACAAGGGGAUAGCCGUUGGAAACGACGAAUAAUACCCUAUGACAUCAAAUAAUCGCAUGAUAAUUUGAUCAAAGAUUUAUCGGUAUAAGAUGGACUCGCGUCUGAUUAGCUAGUUGGUAGAGUAAAAGCCUACCAAGGCAACGAUCAGUAGCCGGCUUGAGAGAAUGUACGGCCACAUUGGGACUGAGACACGGCCCAGACUCCUACGGGAGGCAGCAGUGGGGAAUUUUGCACAAUGGGGGAAACCCUGAUGCAGCGACGCCGCGUGAUUGAGAAGGCCUUCGGGUUGUAAAAAUCUUUUGUAUGGGAAGAAAAUGACAGUACCAUACGAAUAAGGACCGGCUAAUUACGUG
rnacentral:rRNA from 1 species